rnacentral:rRNA from 1 species
UUAAGCAUAUCAAUAAGCGGAGGAAAAGAAACCAACAGGGAUUACCUCAGUAACGGCGAGUGAAGCGGUAACAGCUCAAAUUUGAAAGCUAGCUCUUCUAGGGUUCGCAUUGUAAUUUGUAGAAGAUGCUUCGGGUGUGGCCCCGGUCUAAGUUCCUUGGAACAGGACGUCAUAGAGGGUGAGAAUCCCGUAUGUGACUGGGUGCUUUCGCUCAUGUGAAGCUCUUUCGACGAGUCGAGUUGUUUGGGAAUGCAGCUCAAAAUGGGUGGUAAAUUUCAUCUAAAGCUAAAUAUUGGCCAGAGACCGAUAGCGCACAAGUAGAGUGAUCGAAAGAUGAAAAGCACUUUGGAAAGAGAGUUAAACAGUACGUGAAAUUGUUGAAAGGGAAGCGCUUGCAACCAGACUUGCGCGCUGAUGAUCAUCCGGGCUUCUGCCCGGUGCACUCGUCUGCGCUCAGGCCAGCAUCGGUUUCGGUGGUGGGAUAAAGGCCUUGGGAAUGUAGCUUCUUUCGGGGAGUGUUAUAGCCCUCGGUGCAAUGCCGCCUACCGGGACCGAGGACCGCGCUUCGGCUAGGAUGCUGGCGUAAUGGUUGUAAGCGACCCGUCUUGAAACACGGACCAAGGAGUCUAACAUCUAUGCGAGUGUUUGGGUGUCAAACCCAUACGCGUAAUGAAAGUGAACGGAGGUGAGAACCCUUAAGGGUGCAUCAUCGACCGAUCCUGAUGUCUUCGGAUGGAUUUGAGUAAGAGCAUAGCUGUUGGGACCCGAAAGAUGGUGAACUAUGCGUGAAUAGGGUGAAGCCAGAGGAAACUCUGGUGGAGGCUCGCAGCGGUUCUGACGUGCAAAUCGAUCGUCAAAUU